rnacentral:lncRNA from 1 species
GUCUCCGCAGGCGGAGGGAGGUUGAGGUCCAGAUCGAGAUGGAACGCCUUGGGCGGGAGAGGACGGGGAGGUGAAAGAUGGUCCGGGUGGAGAUCUACGACGGAGGAAGAGUCGGAGUCGCUGUGCGCGGCAACGGCGGGCGGCGGCUGGAGGCAAGCGACGAACAUCGGCGGGCAAAGCGCCAGGUGGCGAUUGUUCGCCACGCGCGACUUCGCGUCGACAAAGAAGAACGGGUGCGCCACCGGGACGGCGGGAGGGUAGGGCUGGAAGGGGAAGUAGCCGCCCCCGCCGCGGCAGAGGAGGCCGAGAUCGAGUGAAGGUGCGGGUACGGGCGGCGGCACUGCCGCCGCUGCCGCAUCGUAGCCGGAGGACUCCAAGGUGCUGCUCUGACUACUGGGGCUGCCGACGGCGACGGGACUGGGGCUGCUGCAGGCGUCCGCGUAGAGGAAGUUGGUCUUGGCCUUGGGCCCGCGGAACUCGCGGGCGGCGGCGUCGUAAGCCCUGGCCGCCUCCUCGGCGGUGUCGAAGGUCCCGAGCCAGACCCGGCUCUUCUUGCCGGGAUCGCGUAUCUCCGCCGCG